GCCGGCAUGGCGCAGUGGUAACGCGUCGCACUUGUAUCACUCCAGGUUAAUGCGAAGAUCACAGGGUAAGUAGAGAAAAUAAAGGUGUUAUCUCAGCGACUAACUUCCUUUGAGUUCAAUUCCUGUUGUCGGCA